GUCUUCACUGAGAUUAGAUAUGAAGUCUGGCCUGCCCACUGAUGAAUAAUUAAAGGGCCGCGGUAUUCUAACCGUGCGAAGGUAGCAUAGUCAAUAGUCUUUUAAUUGGGGGCUUGAAUGAAUGGUCGGACGUGAAGGAGUCUGUCUUAGCCUAGGGUAGUGAAGUUAACUUUUGUGUGAAAAGGCAUGAAUGACUUGGGGGGACGAUAAGACCCUAUAAAACUUGAUGGUUGGGUUGUUAAGUUUUCGAUUUGUUGGUAAAGGGGGCUUGGCGGAGUAUCAUUGUGCUGGGGCGGCAGGAAUAUAGGUGGUAACUGUUCUUAAAAUAAAAUGACUAUAAUCAGACUCUGACCCUGGAUUAGAGGUUAAAAGUGUAAGUUACUUUAGGGAUAACAGCGUUAUUUCUCUUGAGAGUCCAUAUCGACAGAGAUGUUUUUUGACCUCGAUGUUGAAUUAAAGCUUCCUUCGGGGGUAGCAGUUCGGGGGGCAGGUCUGUUCGACCUUUAAAGUUUUACAUGAUUUGAGUUCAAACCGGUG
rnacentral:rRNA from 1 species